CAGUCGCCACGGGAAAACCAGCAGCCCAAGUGGUGGUCGCGUUUAUUGGGCCUAAAGCGCUCGUAGCCUGGCCGGUAAGUUCCCCGUGAAAUCGGGUCGCCCAACGAUUCGGCUUGCGGGGAAUACUGUCGGUCUUGGGGCCGGGAGACGCCGAGGGUACUCCGGGGGUAGCGGUGAAAUGCUGUAAUCCUCGGGGGACUACCAGUGGCGAAGGCGCUCGGCGAUAACGGGCCUGACGGUGAGGGGCGAAAGCUGGGGGCGCGAACGGGAUUAGAUACCCCAGUAGUCCCUGUCUCUUAUA
rnacentral:rRNA from 1 species